GAGUCGUACAGGUUUCCGUAGGUGAACCUGCGGAAGGAUCAUUA
rnacentral:rRNA from 1 species